UACGUAGGGGGCAAGCGUUGUCCGGAUUUAUUGGGCGUAAAGAGCGUGUAGGCGGCCAGGUAGGUCAGCUGUGAAAACUCGAGGCUUAACCUCGAGACGCCGGCUGAAACCCUCUGGCUAGAGUCCGGAAGAGGAGAGCGGAAUUCCUGGUGUAGCGGUGAAAUGCGCAGAUAUCAGGAAGAACACCCGUGGCGAAGGCGGCUCUCUGGGACGGUACUGACGCUGAGACGCGAAAGCGUGGGGAGCGAACAGG
rnacentral:rRNA from 1 species